rnacentral:rRNA from 1 species
UACGGAGGGGGCGAGCGUUAUUCGGAAUCAUUGGGCGUAAAGGGCGCGUAGGCGGCCCCGUAAGUCUUGGGUGAAAGCCCUCGGCUCAACCGAGGAAUUGCCUUGGAUACUGCGGGGCUCGAGGCUGGAAGAGGGCAGUGGAAUUCCCGGUGUAGCGGUGAAAUGCGUAGAUAUCGGGUGGAACACCAGUGGCGAAGGCGGCUUUCUGGACGAUAACUGACGCUGAGACGCGAAAGCGUGGGGAGCAAACAGG